rnacentral:rRNA from 1 species
GAUGAACGCUGGCGGCGUGCCUAAUACAUGCAAGUCGAACGCACUAGUUUACUAGUGAGUGGCGAACGGGUGAGUAACACGUAGGUAAUCUACCCUUAAGACGAGGAUAACCAUUGGAAACGAUGGCUAAAACUGGAUAGGAAUAUAUGAGGCAUCUCAAAUAUUUUAAAAGACCUAGCAAUAGGUAUACUUAAAGAGGAACCUGCGGCGCAUUAGCUAGUUGGUGAGGUAGUAGCUCACCAAGGCAAUGAUGCGUAGCCGGACUGAGAGGUUAAACGGCCACAUUGGAACUGAGAGACGGUCCAAACUCCUACGGGAGGCAGCAGUAGGGAAUUUUCGGCAAUGGAGGAAACUCUGACCGAGCAACGCCGCGUGAAUGACGAAGUACUUCGGUAUGUAAAGUUCUUUUAUCAAGGAAGAAUGACUUAUGGAAAAAUAAGUGUGACGGUACUUGAUGAAUAAGCCCGGCUAACUAUGUGCCAGCAGCCGCGGUAAUGUCAGUG